GUUUUAUUCAAGCUGCAAGCUUUUCCCGAAACAGACCAAAACCAGCUGCCGGCCGGUGGCGGCGCGUGGGCGCCCUAGCUCACAGUUCACCGUUCACCUACGCUACGCCACCGAGCUCCAAAGCAAAAGAACAAACAAAAACCUCUCGACAAAAUUGGCCCCCGCGCGCGUCGCGAACUCGCGAUGCGCGGGUUCUCUUCUCGCCCGCCCCUGCAUAUGCGCCUACAAGCCCUCGGCCGGCGCGGCCGGUGUGGCGGCGAAGGCGAGCGGCUUCCUCGCGCUGGCGACGGCGAUGAAGGACGGCAGGGCGUCGCCGGCCAUGACGACCACGACCUUGGGGGGCUCCCGGUCGAGCGGCACCAGGACCCGCACCGACGCCGGCUUCUCGUCGCCGCCGUUGGCCGACGACGACGACGACGAAGAGGCCUUGCGGCGCGCGCACAUGAGCGCGACCAGCGCCACCGCGAUGAGGACCAUCAUCGUCGCGAACCCCAGGAAGAGAUAUGGCGUCGGCGUCCUCCACAGGCUCGGCCGCCCGCCGCCAGCCAAUAGCACCGUCGUCGUCGGCGCCACACCUCCAACUCUUUCCGGCCUCAUUUGUCUCUCUCUCUCUCUCUCCCACUCACUACUCCCUCUAGCUUAGCUUGCUGCGUUGCUGUUGUGGCUGCGUAAUGGUUGCUUAAUUGCCUUUGGCUGGGAGAGAUGUGAUGGGAACAGGUGUGGCGGGGAGGGUAUAUAUAGGCCGGGAAGGAAGGAGGAGGGCAGACGGGAGAAGAAACCUUUGCAAUCCUCUGCUGCUUGCUUUGGUGAGUUGCCUGUCUCCCUCAUCACCUGGCCACAAGGUGCUGCGCCUUGCUGCCCAGCUGCUGACUGCUGUGCGAUGGUGCGGCGGCGGCUGCGGCUGCGGCUGCGUGCGUGCUUUAUUUCUUUUUCGUCUCACGUCACAUUCGUGCUAGCCGGCUUCCAAAUAUAAUUUUGUUGGCCUUUUAUGCUUCUGGCAUCCUUUUUUUCCCCUUCCUUG
rnacentral:misc_RNA from 1 species